CCAGCACCAGGAGCGGCGUCUGCAGCGACGACUCGCACGUCGCCGAACUCCGCGAGAGCCAGAGACCGCUGCCGAUCAGAGGGAUCGACGCGAGUAGCGUCAACAGGUUCAGGUACCCGAUCAAGGAGUUGCUGAAUCGAAAGGAUAUGAUUUAAGACAGCACUCUCAUCCACUAACAAGUAGCUUUAAAAGCUUUGCUCCCUUUGACGGAAUUUCAGAUAAAAAGGAAUUUUGUGUCAAGCUCAGAGAAUAAUAUGGUGACUUGAACAAUUGAAAGAUUCGAAAGUUGUUUGUGUGUGUGUGUGUGUAAAUUUCUUUAUUUGUUGCGUGGUAGAAUAAGAUUCUAAUUCUUGAAUUAUUGAAAAGUGAGAAUUUGAUUGCUGAACUUAAUCAACUGAUGUUAAACAAGAUUAAUUAGCUCCCUUUGAUGGAA